rfam:Dipodomys ordii contig_42092, whole genome shotgun sequence.
GGGAAUAUGGCUCAGCGGUAGAGCGCUUGCCUAGCAUGCAUGAAGCCCUGGGUUCCAUUGCUCAGUACCA